GAAAUUCACUGAUGUGCUGAGAAACAUGCUGAAGAUAAUUGUUAGUCUCGCAUGGUUCAUUAUUCUUCCAUUGUGUUAUGCACAGGCCUUCAACGUGUCCCGGAGGAGAAUCAGAGAUUCAUUGUCAUUCCUUCGUGAUGUGAAGGAAAUCCCUCCCCUAUACGUUAUAGCUGUGGUAGUAUAUUUGAUUCCAAAUAUUUUGGCUGCUGCUUUGUUUAUCUUUCCCAUGUUUCGAAGAUGGAUUGAGAACUCCGACUGGCUUGUUAUCAGAUUCCUUUUGUGGUGGUCACAGCCAAGAAUUUAUGUUGGGAGGGGGAUGCACGAAAG
rnacentral:misc_RNA from 1 species